rnacentral:tRNA from 1 species
GCACGCGUAGCUCAGCUGGAUAGAGCACUGGUUUUCGGCACCAGGGGCCGGGAGUUCGAAUCUCUCCGCGUGUACCA